GUUUAAUUUGCUUUUAGGCAUAUUAUUCGCCACUACGGAAUCCUAAAUGUUUUUAACUCGACUCAAUCACAAUUUUUUCACGAAUAAAAUACACUGACACCAAUAACCUUCAUUCAAAGUAAAAUAACGCCUCAAACAAAGCAGGUACGUAGUAAAAUAACAUUAUGAUUUCUGUCGAACGUAAAUAUGAUUAUUAUCGUAACAAACAUUAAAGGAAAUGGAAUCUGUGAUAAGACCCGUUCAAUUUCAGUACUUCGCGCGUUCACAAAAUGGCCAGACCCACUCGGAAAAUACGUUUUUGUAACUGGAUGUUUUUAAUUUCAUUUUACCCCAUAACUCAAUCGGGUCCCGCCGUCCCCAUAGACAUAGUGACGGAAAAAGUGACAGGAGACGUCACCUUAAACCCUGCUGUCAUCCAGCUCAUCCCGGACAAGGAGCCACUGAUAUCCAGGAGGUACCGUCGACCGUGGUGGAAGCCACCUACCACGAAGAGAUACGCCCUGUUCCUCAAAUACUAUGACAGUGGAUAUCAGGAGUACUACGAUUUCCCGUUCGUGACAAUCAGGCCGAAGUACCCAGUUCCAGGGGUGGAGUUCGGCAUCCAGCUGGCUAAAGCUCAGAUACCCCCACUGUUGCUGAAAAUGGCCGUUGGCGGCCCACGCCGAAUGCCCAAACCAGGGGGCACGUUCAAACCUCCUCACCUCAUACAUAUUCCUGAAGAGAUUGAAAACUACACUCAUGUUAACUUCCAUUAUAAUCGAAGAGAAAAAGACUUUGAGAUUUAUAAUCAAUAAUAAGACAACAGAUUUA